rnacentral:rRNA from 1 species
GUCCAUGCCGUAAACGAUGUCUACUAGCCGUUGGGGCCUUUGAGGCUUUAGUGGCGCAGCUAACGCGAUAAGUAGACCGCCUGGGGAGUACGGUCGCAAGACUAAAACUCAAAUGAAUUGACGGGGGCCCGCACAAGCGGUGGAGCAUGUGGUUUAAUUCGACAAUAAACGGGGAAUCUUACCCAGACUUGACAUCCUAGGAAUCUUGUAGAAAUAUGAGAGUGCCCGUAAGGGAGCCUAGUGACAGGUGCUGCAUGGUUGUCGU